rnacentral:rRNA from 1 species
GGAAACCUCACCCGGCCCGGACACGGAAAGGAUUGACAGAUUGAUAGCUCUUUCUCGAUUCUGUGGGUGGUGGUGCAUGGCCGUUCUUAGUUGGUGGAGCGAUUUGUCUGGUUAAUUCCGAUAACGAACGAGACUCCGGCAUGCUAACUAGUUACGCGGCCCCGUGCGGUCGGCGUCCAACUUCUUAGAGGGACAAGUGGCGUUCAGCCACACGAGAUUGAGCAAUAA